GACGAACGCUGGCGGCGUGCUUAACACAUGCAAGUCGAACGGAAAGGCCCUGCUUUUGUGGGGGGCUCGAGUGGCGAACGGGUGAGUAACACGUGAGUAACCUGCCCUUGCCUUUGGGAUAACUUCAGGAAACUGGGGCUAAUACCGGAUAUGAGCUCCUGCUGCAUGGUGGGGGUUGGAAAGUUUCGGCGGUUGGGGAUGGACUCGCGGCUUAUCAGCUUGUUGGUGGGGUAGUGGCUUACCAAGGCUGUGACGGGUAGCCGGCCUGAGAGGGUGACCGGCCAUAUUGGGAAUGAGAUACGGCGCAGACUCCUACGGGAGGCAGCAGUGGGGAAUAGUGCACAAUGGGAGGAAGCCUGAGGCAGCAACGCCGGGUGCGGGAUGACGGCCUUCGGGUUGUAGACCGCUUUCGCCUGUGACGAAGCGUGAGUGACGGUAAUGGGUAAAGAAGCACCGGCUAACUACGUG
rnacentral:rRNA from 1 species